rnacentral:rRNA from 1 species
UGGGCGUAAGCGCGCGCAGGCGGUUUCUUAAGUCUGAUGUGAAAGCCCACGGCUCAACCGUGGAGGGUCAUUGGAAACUGGGGAACUUGAGUGCAGAAGAGGAGAGUGGAAUUCCAUGUGUAGCGGUGAAAUGCGCAGAGAUAUGGAGGAACACCAGUGGCGAAGGCGACUUUCUGGUCUGUAACUGACGCUGAUGUGCGAAAGCGUGGGGAGCAAACAGGAUUAGAUACCC